rnacentral:rRNA from 1 species
GUGGCGAACGGUCGCGUAACACGUAAGCAACCUGCCCUGAAGUGGGGGACAACAUUCCGAAAGGGGUGCUAAUACCGCAUGUGGUCACGAGUCGGCAUCGACUUGUGUCUAAAGAUUUAUCGCUUCAGGAUGGGCUUGCGGCCUAUCAGGUAGUUGGUGGGGUAAUGGCCUACCAAGCCGACGACGGGUAGCUGGUCUGAGAGGACGAUCAGCCGGAUUGGGACUGAGAUACGGCCCAGACUCCUACGGGGGGCAGCAAUUAGGAAUCUUGCGCAAUGGGGGCAACCCUGACGCAGCGACGUCGCGUGAAGGAUGAAGGCCCUCGGGUCGUAAACUUCUUUUGAGCGGGAAGAAAUUUGACGGUACCACUCGAAUAAGCCCCGGCUAACUACGUGCCGGCAGCCGCGGUAAUACGUAGGGGGCGAGCGUUGUCCGAAGUUACUGGGCGUAAAGCGCGCGUAGGCGGUUAUUUAAGUCUGGGGUGAAAGGUUCAGCGCUCAACGUGAACAGUGCCUUGGAUACUGGAUGACUUGAGUCUGGGAGGGGGAAGGGGAAUUCCUGGUGUAGCGGUGAAAUGCGUAGAUAUCAGGAGGAACACCGGUGGCGAAGGCGCCUUCCUGGCCUAAGACUGACGCUGAGGUGCGAAAGCGUGGGGAGCAAACGGGAUUAGAUACCCCGGUAGUCCACGCCGUAAACGAUGAGUGCUAGGUGUCGGGGGUAUCGCCCCCCCGGUGCCGUCGCUAACGCAUUAAGCACUCCGCCUGGGGGAGUACGGCCGCAAGGUUGAAA